rnacentral:rRNA from 1 species
AUUGAACGCUGGCGGCAUGCUUUACACAUGCAAGUCGAACGGCAGCACGGACUUCGGUCUGGUGGCGAGUGGCGAACGGGUGAGUAAUACAUCGGAACGUACCCAGUAAUGGGGGAUAACUAUCCGAAAGGAUAGCUAAUACCGCAUACGCCCUACGGGGGAAAGAGGGGGAUCGCAAGACCUCUUGUUAUUGGAGCGGCCGAUGGCUGAUUAGCUAGUUGGUGGGGUAAAGGCCUACCAAGGCAACGAUAAGUAGCGGGUCUUAGAGGACGAUCAUCCACACUGGAACUGAGACGCGGUCCAUACUCCUACGGGAGGCAGCAGUGGGGAAUCUUGGACAAUGGGCGCAAGCCUGAUCCAGCAAUGCCGCGUGCGUGAAGAAGGCCUUCGGGUUGUAAAGCGCUUUUGUCAGGGAGCAAAUCCUUGUGGCUAAUACCCACCGGGGAUGAGAGUACCUGAAGAAUAAGGACCGGCUAACUACGUGCCAGCAGCCGCGGUAACAC